GCAAGUCGAACGCGAAAGUCCCCUUCGGGGGAUUAGUAGAGUGGCGUCCGGGUGAGUAACACGUAGGUAAUCUACCUUCGGGUGGGGAAUAACGCAGGGAAACUUGCGCUAAUACCGCAUAAUGCAGCGGCACCACAUGGUGACAGUUGUUAAAGCGGGGGAUUUUCGAACCUCGCGCCUGAAGAGGAGCCUGCGGCAGAUUAGCUAGUUGGUAGGGUAACGGCUUACCAAGGCGACGAUCUGUAACCGGCCUGAGAGGGCGGUCGGUCACACUGACACUGACAUACGGGUCAGACUCCUACGGGAGGCAGCAGUCGGGAAUUUUGGGCAAUGGGCGAAAGCCUGACCCAGCAACGCCGCGUGAAGGAUGAAAUCCCUCGGGAUGUAAACUUCGCAAGAAUGGGAAGAAUAGACGAGUACUAAUACUGCUCGUGAUGACGGUACCAUUUGUAAGCUCCGGCUAACUCCGUGCCAGCAGCCGCGGUAAUACGGGGGGAGCAAGCGUUGUUCGGAUUUACUGGGCGUAAAGGGCGCGUAGGCGGUCAGCACAAGUCAGUUGUGAAAUCUCCGGGCUUAACUCGGAAAGGUCAACUGAUACUGUGCGACUAGAGUGCAGAAGGGGCAACUGGAAUUCUCGGUGUAGCGGUGAAAUGCGUAGAUAUCGAGAGGAACACCUGCGGCGAAGGCGGGUUGCUGGGCUGACACUGACGCUGAUGCGCGAAAGCCAGGGGAGCGAACGGG
rnacentral:rRNA from 1 species